rnacentral:lncRNA from 1 species
GAUGACAUUGAUGGCGCCGAGUUACGAGGACGCUAGCCGACAACAAAUGGUUACCGGCCUCCAGAUACACCGGUCUGUUGAUUUGAUGGAGAUAAGUGUGAGAAAAGGAUAUAUAACACUCCAUCGGCGUUUUUGCGGGAAGAGUUCCGCAAUGAUGUUAGUAAUUCUGAUACAAUUUAUUCUGGCCACGGUGUGUGUAAGGAAGAAUAAGAGAAAAGCAGCAGUAGAUGUUUGAAAAUAUGAGGCAUCCAGUCCUUCAGUAGAGCGGGAAAGAGUUUUCAAGACAUUGAAAUGUUUCAUUAAAGGUUUCAGGUCGAACAGUGAACAAUUUAACAUGAAUUUUUCAUCAUUUAUUAACAUGCGUAAUUGAGGAUUUAGAUCACAAAUGGUUUGAUUGAGCUUGUUAUAUUUAUUUUCUGUAUUAGUUAGGCAACUUAUUUCAAAAUCUAAAACAAUUUAUAGUUGAUGAAAAACGUAAUGAAUAUGUAUGCUAAUUGGACUGAAAAAAUGAAUUAACCGACGAUAUAAAAGUUCAUCUCUUUCAGAUUUGUUAAAAUAAAACAAUUUCAGUAUUAAUCUACUUCUGAGACAAUGUUGGAUAAAUGAAAUAAUAACCAAAUAAACAAUAUCUUUUCAAAUAAAAGAACAGAUCGUAGAUUUAUUUACAAUAAUAACAACUUUAUGGUAGAGCUAGUCCUCGUAAUAUUUUGAAAUAAAAUGUGGCUUUUAUUUAAAAGAGACGUUCCAGCAAAUAAAGGUAUUGCGACAAAAUGCCUCUGAUACUCUUAUUAGAUCGUUCCUUAAAAUUGCUGCCUUUUUACAAAACUGCUCUCGAUAGGUGCUACGUAGUUCUUUUCCCUUUUAUUAUGCUGUUCAAUUACUUACCGUACGUAUUUAGGGUAAAUUAAAACAUUGAUUGCAUUCAUAUUUCGUUAAAUCAUUUAUAAUUCUUCUGUUUCUGUUGCUAUUUCGUUGUUGAAAGCUUUAUUUCAAUAGGUAUUAAUAAACGCUUAUUAUUUGCA